ACGAUGCUGAUACACACACGCCAUAGUCAAGCUCAAACCCAAUCUUCCCUGUCUCUCUAUCUAGAUCGUUACUUCUCUCUCUAACCCCAAGUUCCAAACCCUAACCCUAAAAAUUCCCUAAAAAAGAAUAAAAAAUUUCUUACAUGAAAUUCAAUUCUCACGCAAACCCUAGAUUCCCAAUCAAAUAUCCGAUCAAGAAGAUAACUCAAGGCAUAAUUUGAUGAGAAUAAUCAAAGUAUUAUACUCUCAUAAUAAACUCUAACGAUUUCUCUUUCUCCGUAUCUCUAUCGGUUAAAAAAAAUCUAUGGAGGGCUCUGUGGUUGAGGAUCUCGGAGCCCCGGAGUCAUGGGAGGUGGCCGAUUUGGACGAAACGAUGAGCCGUUUGAUGCUCAAGGAUUCGAAGAGAGACUGCAAGCAAUCCUCUCAAGAGCUCUCCAUCGACUCUCCGACUUCUGUUAAUUCGGGCUCGGUUUUGGGUUCUGGAUCUUCGGCUUCAGGUACCGGUACUGGUGACAAAGUUGUAUCGGAAGAUUUAAUUAAUCAGGUCGAUCAGUUCCUUCGGGAAGCGUUGCAGAACCCUCGCGAGCGGCUUUCCAUUCUGAGGAUGGAGCAAGAUGUAGAGAAGUUCAUUUGUGAUCCUACACAACAGCAAUUAGAAUUUCAGCAGUUGCCCACUUCAUAUUUACGGUUGGCUGCACACCGUGUGGCACAGCAUUACUCACUGCCAUCUAUGGUUUUGUUAGACAACAAUUUACCUGAUGGUUCUGGUUCUAGAAUUAUUGUCCGCAAGACUUCUGAGUGUAGGCUGCCUUCAGUUCGCUUGGCAGACAUCCCUGUAAAUUUGCCAUCAGAAGACAGCAGCGUUGUUAAGGUUGCAAUUAAACAAAGGCCACAGAAGCGGCCCCAAACUGUCAACAAUUCAAAUUCAAGUUCCUUGAAGACAAAUAAUUCCAAAAGUGUGGAGGAAAGAAAAGAGGAAUACAACAGGGCACGAGCUCGAAUAUUUAAUUCUAGUGGUUUUAGCAGUGGUGCUAGUGGGAAGCCAGAAGGGGAACCAAGAUUGCAAGAUGGUUCCCAGCAUGGUUUAUUGGGUAUUUUCAAGACAGAAGAAAAACCUGUUUCAGGAAAUUUGGAUAUAAAUUCUAGUAGAGGUUCUAUUGAAUCUUCUAUUAGUAGCAAUAGGUCAACUAGGACUAGGAUAGAAAAAGAGCCAAUUAGUAGGUACAAACCAAACAAUAGGGUGGCCAUAUUUCGAGACCGUGAAAUUGAUAGGAAAGACCCUGAUUAUGACCGGAGCUAUGACAGGUAUAUGCAAAGAUUUGAUCCUGGAUUUGGAUUCAAUGGAGGACCUUAUACCUUGCAGCCAAUGUACACCCCUGCAUUGAACUACAAUACCGAAUUUCCUCAGCUUGGUUCUAGCCAUAGGCCACAGAUAUCCACUGAACACCAACCUCGACCUCUUCCUCAACAUUUACAUGGGCCAUGGGCUGCCCCAUCAAACCCUGCUGGAAUUGGAUAUGGCCAUCCAGAAACAAUGCUGCCACCAUUCAAUCCAAAUCAUGUUGGUGCACGCUCCACAUCUGCCAUUUAUCUGCAUUCCUCUCAGUACCCCUGUCAGCGCCCAGGAAUGCCUUUCAUCCAUCCUCAUGAGCAUGUUCAACCUUUUUCACAGUCUCAUCAACAGCAACCUGAUGCGAGUUUUGGUUUAGCCCGGCCCCGUUGAGGGGCUUGGACCAUGCCUGCACCCUGCAAACUGAAACAUGGGCUUGGAAUGUUAAUGUGCUGAUACAGCAUCACAUCGUAUCUCAAUUUGCAGGUGUGCAGGCAUAAGGAGCCGAGGUGGGUAGGAGUGGCUAUUUGCAGUGUGAUACAUUCCCACCACUUUCGGUAUCCAUUUGAAGCUUCUUCCAUGUGUCAUGGAGGAUGAAGAAGCUCAAAGGCUCAACAGAUGAUUGAGUGAGAGCCCUGUUAUGCCUUUGAUGAUGAUGACCAAAAUUAGGGAAAGAAUUGUAUAUGAAAAUGCAUCCUCUAUGUGGUAAAAGCAUGACAGGCAGCCAAAAGCGCAAACAAGAAAACUUGAAGCUUGUUUCUGUUCAAGCUGUUAUUUUGUAUUUGGCUUGCAGCAGCUUUGGUUAUCCAGCAGUCUCUUAUAGGACUCUGAUCACCACUCAUUGUGUUACUAAUAUGUACUUCCGACACUAGAAAUAAUGAAGCGACCUUACAGGAAGCCUUCUCGACUGUAAUGAUAUGUUUUGAUAACUAUAUGCAAUGUGAUCAUUUUCUUGUUGCUUA